GUGGUUCUGAUCUUAAAUGCUGCAUGUGUAUCACAACGAUUAUUCAAUAUGUAAUACGUACUGUGUAGACUUACUUCUACACUCUGUGCCUCCUCGUUCAUGGGUGUUGAUUCCUACAAAGUUUGUUGUAUAAUAAUUAUAGUUUAAUAGGUGUAUUUUUUUUAGGCUCACCCUUGUAUUUUGUUUAGCCAUAGAGUUUUCGUCCAAUGGCUGUAGUGUAUCACUCACAUUUGUGAAAACUGAAGUGUGACUUGUUGAUAGCUGUGCAAAUGUUACAAUAAUUAAUAAUGAUAUAAAGUAAAUGUUUUGAACGUACCAUACUUGUGAAUGAGUGAUCCUCCUCACUAAGAGAGUCAUCAUCAGGAAACUACAAUGUGAUAAAUGAUAUGAGUGGCCUCUGAUCGACAAUUGUAACAUACCUCGUUGAAGAGUGGGUUGAGUGGAGGAUAGGGGCUGACCUGUACAUUUACUAUCAAAAUCAUUGAUUAAAGGUUCAACUGUACCUCAAAAGUAGGGCAGUCAUAGGAGGUAGGGCACUCAUGGGAGGUAUUGAUGUCCUGCAUGUGGAAUUAACGCACUUAUUGAUCUACAUGAUUGUGGUAUUGUACAUGUACCUGUACACAUUGUAAUAUCUGUAUUAGUAGUAAAUCGUGUGUAGCUUUACCUUUGCUUCUGGGUUCAGUAAAGUUUUCCUUGAAACUUUGCUUGUGGGCCAAUUUUCGGGAUAAGCAGUUGAAUCUGGUUAUCAGUCAGAUCUAACAAAGCUUCACCAUCGAUCUCUUGUUCUAUAAGAUGGCUAAAGGUUAUAGUAUGUACGUUGUCCUCUUUACAGUAUACAUGUAUUAUAAUUAUUGUACAUGUACAAAUAGUUAGAAUUCAUGUACAGUGGUCUGUUGGUACGACAUGAAUUGGUUAAUCCGUUUUGUUACAAAAUUAAUGGUAUAAUCUUGUGUAUCAUGUAUAUAGGGAUUAUGUAUAUACUUAUCAUGAAUAGUUGUUUGCAGGUGCUUUUCUGUGUUAUUGCUACUAGUUACUUCUUAGCUUCCUACAGAACAACUAGCUAGGUGCAAUGCUUAUGUACAGCAGUCAAUUCUAUCAGCUAUGACUCUUCUUUUUGUAAAGUCUCAAGUAAGCAAUUAAUGGGAACAUUUUUUUAUAUAUAGACUUUAGAAUUCCUAUGAAAAUGGUUUCUGCACCCACACGAGAUAAGUGUGCUGAUAUUUUGGAGAAAAACUGAUCCACAUCUUCAUGAGUGUGACCCACUGGUAGAAAAUUGACACGAAUCUGCAACAUGCAUGCAAGUAUGAAAGAUAGAAUUAUAAUCACUGUAAGUAUAUACUUAUUACAGUGUGCAUGCAUAUACAGUCAUGUUUACCUUCCUGAAUAUCUUCAGUAGAACGAGAAGUGCCAAAAAUGAAAACACGUACUUGUUUUUGUUCUCACGAGCAGUGUUAUCCAGCUGAAGAUAUAAAAUAGGAGGAAUUGUGCCUAGUUUGCUUUGGAGCUGGGUUAAAAUUGAGGUGAGGACUGUUAUCGUUAAGUUUGAGUCGUGAGGCCACUGGAGCAAGUCAAAAAAAGCAAAUGCCAAUUUUCCUUUCUCUGACUUGGUAUGAAUCAAUGCUCCUGUAAGGUGAGUGCGUAACCGUCACAGAUUCUGGCUUGACUUGGUCUGCUGAGUGAUAUGAGGGACGUUGGUUUUAUUCUGGUCCAUGCCAUCAAUCAUAACAUGCAGUCACGUACUUUGUGGGCUCGCUUCUAGACUUCUCACGAUGGUGAUAGUACUUGCGACGCUCAGAUCUGUUAAAACACAAAAAUGCAUGUGCAUUAUUUUAUAUACAUAAUUUAUUUUAUGCAUUUUAUAAUUUAUCCACAAAUGACAUGCAUACUCGACUAAAUCCAGAUGCUGUUUGUAUUCCGUUGAUAACUGCUCACGCCUGCUCUUAUCACCUACAACCUUCAGUCUCUCGCUAGCAAACCUCACACAGAUGUCACACUUACUGAAUAGGCUACUCUGAAAACAAUUAUACACAUGCAUAAUUGGCAAUCACAUGUCUGUUAUAUAUAUAUCGUUUAUAUAAUUAUCAUGCAUGCUGUAUACUGCUAAUACAACCCUUGCAACAUAAAGUAUAUACCUUUGGGAUGAUACAGUAUCGGAAUUUAUCCUUCCACAGAGCAUAAAAAUGAGAGCUUGAAAUUAUAUCUGGUUUGCAGACACCCUGAUCAAUGAGAUCUUGAACCAUCAGCUCAUACACCAUCUUUCUAGACAUGAAGUGUGGCAGGUGAGUCUGCUGGAUGUGAGGCAUUUUAUCACCGAUGCGGCUAAAAUAUCGUUCCAUCCAAGCAGCAGCAGUCGUGUACUUAUCGGACUUUGGCCUCUGCCGUUUAACCUGCGGCUGUGAUAGCGUAAUAUCUUGUUUCAAAAGAGUAGCUACAUUUCUUAGUUUUUUCUCGGAAAUUUCGAACACUUUUAAAUAAGCAUACUUACAAACUUGCUUCCCCGAUAGUGAGAGUUUGUACUGGAUGGAUUUGCUUCCUUUAGCAACUGAAAAGUUAACAGUAUCUAGGAGGAACUGCUUCUGUUCCACUUUGUUUCUGUUUCGAAAUGUUUUUUGCCAACUUUCUAUUUCUAAAAGACUAAAAGAGGCAAGGCAACGGUGCUCACAGCAGGUUGAGCUAAGUAGAUCUACUUGUGAAACACUUCUUGAACUUUGAGUGUUUAAAGGAGGAGUAACAGUGGCCUGUGAGUGUGCAGUAUUCGAUCCUUCAAUUUCCGUCAGAGAUGUGUUAAACACUGAGUCUUGUAGCUGACAAGAACUUUGAGUACCAUCCAUUUCCAAGUCAUCGAAAUGGAUACUUGUAUUUCCAGACGGGAUGUGCGAUAAAGUGGCAAUUGAUUCCCACGAGGUUGCAGAUAAGUUACCUUCUUUUCUUCUCUUAGCAGGAGAUUCGCUCUCAGAGUUAUCGACACCUGCCCCAGUAAGAAGAGGAGUCGAUUGGAAGCGCCGUUAACAACUCCGGUGAGUCAAAGGCACAGCAUAGAUGAUUUUGAGCUAUCAAAGUCAUUCCACAAUAAUGAAUUAGUAGAAUAGUCCCAUGUUUAACUGAGAAAAGAUGUCACAACCGGCAGUCCAGUAAGUUUGAAUGUGAGAGCUCCGAGCUGACCAUGCGCAGGAAGACAAUAAUUCACAAGCACUGUGAACUGUGAGGUUUGCUCGACAUUCUGGUUAACAACUGUGAAGAGCCUCCAGCAUCACGUUUUGCUCCGCCGAGUAGAUCCAGUGUUCGUGGAUGCCCUCAAAACAAGGCUUAAAGAAGAUUCAACAGGAAUUGGUAUUCCUCCGUUGGCUGUAGCAUGCAAGGACGUCAGGACUAAAGAGUUGUUUCAGGAGAGGCUGAAAGAUGUAUAUCGUUAUGAGGUUCAUGGGGGUGUUCAUGGCAUUAAAGCCAGACAAGUCCUAAAUUCUGAAGGCUCCAUGCAUGCUGAAAGUAGUUUGUAUGCGGGACUUACAGAUGAAGAAUCUUUAUGGCUCGCAUCUCGGCAUAAUGCAAAUGGGCACUUUCAUCACAACAUGACCCACCGAGAUUAUGUCGAAGCUUGUCGCUCGUCUAUAUGUGCUGAAUGGCAAAGAUCCAACAACAGAUGAAACACCAACACCUUCACCCGAAUGGAAGAGAACAUGUGCCAGAUGCAUUCUUCCAGAGGGUUUUUCUCGGACUCAAGGGAAAAUAUUUACGCCCAAGCCGUAUUCGCCAAAAGUGUGUGGGACAAGGUCCAGGAGGUGAUGGACAUGUAUGAAUUGGGGUCACUGAAGGAUCAGAAACUCAACAAAAAGCAUCUACAAUCCACUCCUGAGUUCAAGCAACACCUGCUUCAGCCAUUACAUCAUCUGGACAUUGAUUUUCAGGAUGAAAUUCUCCAGAAGCUGAUCGAAGAAGACAUUUCUUUGAAAGAAAUGAAAAAUGAAGCCAUUCAUUUCAGAGCAUUGGAGGCAAUUAAAAGGGCAUUCUUACGUUGCACUAACUGUGCAUCGUGGAAAGAUGCUUGUUUAAACUUCCCCGCAUUCACCGAGGAGACACGCUUUAAAGGAUUGGACCUUCGCCAUCAAAUUCCAGAAGUGUUUAAGACCUACUGCCAGAGUGCACUCAAUUCUCAAGCUCCAUCGCUCGGUAUAUGGUUAAGACAGUCAAUGAUGCUCGUGUUGCUGUUGUGAGCGGAGACUUUCAAUCGCUUUCAGCACAAGACAUCAAAGAUGCUGACUCAUCAUAUUGUGGUGCCCAGCUGAUUUUCACCGGCUUACCUGAAGUUAAGUUUAUAUAUGCAUAAUUAUUAAUUCUCAAACUUAUGUGCGUCUUUAACAAAGUGUUAGCAUUCAUGGUGCAUGGUUUUAGAUACAAUUCUUAUUGUCACUACAUUAGAAUUUAUGGCAGUAAACCUCCGAGGACGAGGGCAAAGCCCCGAGGCCAAGGAUGGUUUGUGUUGCCAUAAAUUUGAAUGUAGUGGACAAUAUAUAAGUGUUAUCAUGUGACUUACUGGAAUGAAAAAUGCUGACUACCUACUUGUGCGUAUAGCUCGUAGCCAGUGGACAUAAUUAAUAUAGAACUAUCAACUAUGUAUAUACAUGCACUGUUUUCGUUUUACAGAAUUGCAGCACUGAAGUGAUUGAGAAAAUGGUUUACACAAGUAGGCAGCUCAAUUAUUCAAGCAGUACCUUGAAGUUUUUCACUCUAGUCGUGAUUUGCAGUGUGGAGCAAAUUGAUUCUGUUAAGUCAGGACUACUGAAGUGCUACGACUCAACAGAAGUUGCUUAUGCUUAUGACAAGUCGGCCCAGCCAGAUAAGCAAACAGAUGGCCUCUUGACUCCAGCAGUGAAGGGAAUAGUAGUUGGGCACUGGUCACAGGAUGGACAACUAUCCCACAAACAGAUAAAUCAGGGUCAUCACAACCUGUUCGGAUGUUCUGAGGGUGAUGACUCUCUUCAAAGAGAGCUGAUAGAGACAUUCAGCCAUGAUGCAUCCACCAUUAUUGAUGCAACACAGAGUGGUUGAUGGGGAUCGACGAGGGUCUCGCAUAAAGAGAGAAGUAGUGCUGAACCCAUCUGGUAAAGACAUAAAGAUUGAGCCCCACCCCCAAGCAUGCAAAGACUAUUAUACCAACCCAAUUAACCCAUAAUAUUGUUUGCAAACUUUUUGUCCUACUCUUCCCCAUUCACACUCGUGUAUAAUUACAAUUCUAA